rnacentral:rRNA from 1 species
GACGUUACCUACAGAAGAAGCACCGGCUAACUCCGUGCCAGCAGCCGCGGUAAUACGGAGGGUGCGAGCGUUAAUCGGAAUUACUGGGCGUAAAGCGCAUGCAGGCGGCCUGUUAAGUCAGAUGUGAAAGGCCCGGGGACCGUUAACCUACGGUAAUUGCUAUUUAGUAAACUGGCGAGGCUAGAGUCUUGUAGAGGGGGGUAGGAAUUUCAGGUGUAGCGGUGAAAUGCGUAGAGAUCUGAAGGAAUACCAGUGGCGAAGGCGGCCCCCUGGACAAAGACUGACGCUCAGAUGCGAAAGCGUGGGGAGCAAACAGGAUUAGAUACCCUGGUAG